rnacentral:rRNA from 1 species
GUAGGUGGCAAGCGUUGUCCGGAAUUAUUGGGCGUAAAGCGCGCGCAGGCGGUUUUUUAAGUCUGAUGUGAAAGCCCACGGCUCAACCGUGGAGGGUCAUUGGAAACUGGAGAACUUGAGUACAGAAGAGGAAAGCGGAAUUCCACGUGUAGCGGUGAAAUGCGUAGAGAUGUGGAGGAACACCAGUGGCGAAGGCGGCUUUCUGGUCUGUAACUGACGCUGAGGCGCGAAAGCGUGGGGAGCAAACAGGGAUUAGAUACCCCGGUAGUCCACGCCGUAAACGAUGAGUGCUAAGUGUUAGGGGGUUUCCCGCCCCUUAGUGCUGCAGCUAACGCAUUAAGCACUCCGCCUGGGGAGUACGGCCGCAAGGCUG